AAAGUCGUAACAAGGUUUCCGUAGGUGAACCUGCGGAAGGAUCAUUACAAAAACAUUGAAUUUCGUAUUCAUAAACCCCUGCAGUGUACUUGUUCUCGUUGCUUCCAUGGGCAGCAAGCCUUGUGCUGGCGACCCCCCUUAGGGGCCGACCCAUGGGAGGUAAUCAUAAACACUGUCAUCAUAUGGUAUCUGUCUGAACUUGUUUAGUUUAUAAAUGUUAAAACUUUCAACAACGGAUCUCUUGGUUCUC
rnacentral:misc_RNA from 1 species